AAAGCUUCGUUAGAUCCCCUCCGUUAUCCCUUUCUCUCUCUCUCUCUCUCUCUCUCUCUCUCUCUCUCUCUCUUUCUCUCUCUCUUCUUUUCUUUUUUCUUUUCCUUUCUUCUCCACAGACCUCACCUCCCACCAAACCUUCCCUCCUCCACAGCACGCCCACCUCCCACCUCGCCCACUCGCCCCCUCGCCGCAGUUUUCGCCCGCCCGCUUGCUCUCUCACUUUCUCUCUUUCUUCUUUUCUUUUUAUUUUUCCUUUCUUCUCCACAGAGCUUACUACCAAACCCUCCCUCCUCCAUACCCCGCCCACCUCCCAUCUCGCCCACCUCGCCCACUCGCCCCCUCGCCUGCUCGCUCGCUUGCUGGCUCGCUUGCCCCCUCGCCUACUUCUAAGGUUUGAUUCUUUCUUUUUAUUUUUUUUAGUUGUUUGGUGAAUAAAUUAUAGGAAAAAAAUAUUAUUUGGUGAAAUAAAUUACAGAAAAAAAAAUGUUGUUCUGUUUUUAAAAAAUCUAAAAAAAAAAAUCUGAUUUUAUUAUACAAACUCUGAAUAUAUUAUAAAAUCUGAUUUUAUUAUACAAAAUCUGAUUUUAUUAUUCUAGCAUCUAUUUUAUUAAUCUCU
rnacentral:lncRNA from 1 species